rnacentral:lncRNA from 1 species
AAUUCCUCUAUAUAAACCCCCCGUCUUCUUCAGAAAAGGGGUUGGAAAAAUUUUGGGAUAUAUUUUUAUCACAUAAAGAUAUAGAGGAAUUUUGAGGAAGCUCUCCGAUUUUUUUUCUUACUAAUACUUUAGCUGGAAUUUCCUAGCAAGAUAUAUUCAUAUAAAGGGGGAAGAAUAAUCGAGCUACGAAAGCAUAGCAAGUUAAGAAGCAAGGGGUUGUUGUUCAAGUUGUGGAAGCUCGUCUUUGCUAGCUCGUCCGUCUCUAGUUCGCUGCCCCGAAGGAGGUGAAAUUCCCUAAUUUCAACUCACUCAUUAUUUUAUUCUGUUAUCUUUCAGCAAAUAUGAAGUUCUUUAUCGGUUUCUUCCUCCUCUUACUCGAUCAUUUUCCAUUUUUUGUGAGUUGUGUUUGAUAGUGAUGAGAUUUUUCGUUGGGUUCCGAAUAGUUUAUCCGCGUUUAAGGUAUAUAUAUGUUUGAUGACAUGGACUGCUCUUCUUCGAAUACCAUGUAGAUUGAUGAUAGAAUGAAAGAUUUAUUGAUGUUGUUCCUAGGAUUUGGAUUUGGUCUGUCAUUGUUUGAUUAAUUUUUGUAAUUUUUUGAGCAUGUUCUCGUUCUUUUGUAGACGCUUCCCCUGUGUUAUCCUUUCUUUUUAGCCAUCAUGAGUAGAAGUUGCUUGGCAUGUGAUGUUAAGUCAUCACUCUAUUUCAUUAGGUUGGAUAUCAAUCGAACGCCAGCUCUUCCACACCCUCUUUCGAAUGUUUACAGCCUUGAGAGGCUGAUUUUACUUCGUCAUGGCUGAACUAUUUGCUUUCUUUUUGUGUAUAUGCAUUUGACCUUGUGGUUAGCAUCAUCCCGUCACUUUGUUUAGAUAUAUGAAUUUGGAUGCUAAUGCCUUAGGUUGUAUGUUGUUAGCUUUGACCUUUAGCCUCUUUUUCAUUCCUUGAUUAUCCUUUGUCAUGUACUGUUUAUGCUGUUUACCAUGACAUUGCUGUCAUAUUUAUUUCUUGGACAUGAGAUGUUCAUAAGUGCAUACCCAUGUUAUUGUUCCUGCUUGAAGUUUGUUGUCGAUUGUCUUAUUCAUAAGGCAUAUGUGAAGUUAUGGAAGUAAAAGGGAGGGAGUAUUAACCCAUAUGUUGUCAUUUGUUUUCCCUCUUGACACCUUGCUGUUUGUGUGCCCAAGAUUUGUAUGAUUCGAUCUGAGUGUGUUUCCUUUUAUGUGUGGUUUGUUCAUUCGAUCGAGUAAAUAUCAUAAUCUUUAAAAUAAGAUAAAAAAUUCUUUCUUUCUUUUCUUUAGAUGCUGCCAUUCUACCUUGCCAAUGUUUUUUUUUGUGACAUCGAUUCGAGUCCACUUUGGACUCCAUUCUCACAUUCCUACGAGUUGCAAAUCCUCGAGUCAUCCAUUUUCAAAAGUCUAGAAGGCCAAAGCUGAUUUGCAGGUCGAAACAGCAUAAAUGCAGUGCUGGAAAAGUGGCUGGAAAUUAUUUUGCAGGGAUUUGAAGAAGAUGUAUACAACAAUAUACAUAUUUUAUACACAGUUAUAUACUGAUAUACAGGUCUAAAAUACAGGUGGAUCCAAAUUCGAAAUCUGGACUUGUUCAGUGAAGAUAGGUUGCUAAAGGGAACUUUCAACUUUUGAAAAGUUGAAAAACAGUCUGAUAUACAGCCUAUAUACACUGAUAUACAGAGAUAUUAUACCUUAAAUAUGUGUAAAAAAUAAAUAUGAAUUGCAGGUUAACCUAUAGAGACGCCGAUUUCAGAUAAAAUACGGAAAAAUGCAAAAGAUAUGUACAUAGGAACCCAUAUACAUUGGUAUACAUUUCUGGGCAGCGAUACAAAAUUGUUAAACAAGUUUUAAAAUGGUACAGGUACAAAUACGCAGAGAUAAUAUGGAAAAUACAGGGUGAAUAGUGAGAAACACGUAUUCAAACAAGUGCAGGCCUCAAAAAGUCUAAUACGAAUUGGAUAUAUAUAGUAUACAUCAUUUGUAUACUUUAAUUUUUUUUUUCCAGGAAAUGGGCCAGGACCCUUUAGCAGACUUUUUUUUUUUAAAAUAGGACCAAGGGUCCAAAUGUUUUUCUUUUUUGGGAAAUUUUUCAAAAUGUCAAUAUUUUAGCAUUUAAGAGGGCUCAUUAGCAACAUUUUCAAUAUUUAGUAAAAAUGUCAAAUUUUAGUUUGUUAUGUAUCUUGUUUAUGUUUUUAUUAUUUAUUUUUAUUUAAUGAAUAUAAUUAUUUAAUAACAAAAGGGAGAAAAUCAAGGGAGAGAAUAUUUCAAAAAAAGGUAAGGAUCCUUAAUUUUCUCAUCAGUUACAUUUUCAAAUAAAAUUUAAAUCUUAUUCUUUUUUUCUCUCCAGAAUUUUUACCUUUUUAAAAUUAUAUUCAUUUCACAAUAUAUUCUAUUUAUAUUUAUUAUAGUUUUUAUUAGUUUGUAUUCAUUCCAAUAGGUAUGCCGAAUUUAUCUAUAUAGUCAUUUAAGAAAUAUAUUUGUAUUUUCAUAUAUUUUUUCCUAUAUAGUUAAUUUUUCAUCAAAAUAUUGUAUGUAUUCAUUUCAAUAUGUAUUUUAUUUGUAUUUCUAUUUAUUCUAGUUUUUAUUUAGAAUUUUGUAUAUAAUAUAUAAAAUACAAAAUAUUAGUAUGAUGAAAAAGUGAAUGAAAUAUAAAUUUGAAAAGAAAUAAUUGAAUAUUUGGUGUACUCAUUCUUAAAUAAAAUACAUAACUAGUUGACAUACCUUUAGAAUAAAUACAAAUUAGAAAAAAUGUCAAAUUCAUAAACAAUGCAACAUAAUUUUUUAAUGAAUACAACUGUUAAUUGUAAAAAUACAUACUGACUAAUACAGUAUCAAAAUUCAAUAUAUACUUUCAAAUUUAUGAAUACAA